rnacentral:rRNA from 1 species
CCUACGGGUGGCAGCAGUGGGGAAUAUUGCGCAAUGGGCGAAAGCCUGACGCAGCGACGCCGCGUGAGGGAUGAAGGUCUUCGGAUCGUAAACCUCUGUCAGCAGGGAAGAACGGUCACUGUGCUAAUCAGCAGUGAAUUGACGGUACCUGCAAAGGAAGCACCGGCUAACUCCGUGCCAGCAGCCGCGGUAAUACGGAGGGUGCGAGCGUUAAUCGGAAUUACUGGGCGUAAAGCGCUCGUAGGCGGUAUGUCAAGUCAAGGGUGAAAUCCCCGGGCUCAACGUGGGAACUGCCUUUGAAACUGGCAAACUGGAGUGUGUGAGAGGAUAGUGGAAUUCCAGGUGUAGGAGUGAAAUGCGUAGAGAUCUGGAGGAACAUCAGUGGCGAAGGCGACUAUCUGGCACAUAACUGACGCUGAGGAGCGAAAGCGUGGGUAGCAAACAGGAUUAGAUACCCCGGUAGUC